GGUUUCAUGGUGUAGUUGGUUAUCACAUGUGUCUAACACACACAAGGUCCCCAGAUCGAGCCUGGGUGAAAUCA
rnacentral:tRNA from 1 species